GAUGAACGCUGGCGGCGUGCCUAAUACAUGCAAGUCGAACGAAGCCUUCGGGCUUAGUGGCGGACGGGUGAGUAACACGUUGGUACCUGCCUCGAAGUGGGGAAUAACUGGCCGAAAGGUCGGCUAAUACCGCAUGUGAUCGCAAGAUCAAAGUCGUAAGACGCUUCGAGAGGGGCCUGCGUCCCAUUAGCUAGUUGGUAGGGUAAUGGCCUACCAAGGUGACGAUGGGUAGCUGGAUCGAGAGGUUGACCAGCCACACUGGGACUGAGAUACGGCCCAGACUCCUACGGGAGGCAGCAGUAAGGAAUCUUCCACAAUGGACGAAAGUCUGAUGGAGCAACGCCGCGUGCAGGAUGACGGCCUUCGGGUUGUAAACUGCUAUUAUAUGGGAAGAUUAUGACGGUACCAUAUGAAUAAGGACCGGCUAACUACGUGCCAGCAGCCGCCGUAA
rnacentral:rRNA from 1 species